CGGCCGGGUGCCUAAUACAUGCAAGUCGAACGAACUCUGGUAUUGAUUGGUGCUUGCAUCAUGAUUUACAUUUGAGUGAGUGGCGAACUGGUGAGUAACACGUGGGAAACCUGCCCAGAAGCGGGGGAUAACACCUGGAAACAGAUGCUAAUACCGCAUAACAACUUGGACCGCAUGGUCCGAGCUUGAAAGAUGGCUUCGGCUAUCACUUUUGGAUGGUCCCGCGGCGUAUUAGCUAGAUGGUGGGGUAACGGCUCACCAUGGCAAUGAUACGUAGCCGACCUGAGAGGGUAAUCGGCCACAUUGGGACUGAGACACGGCCCAAACUCCUACGGGAGGCAGCAGUAGGGAAUCUUCCACAAUGGACGAAAGUCUGAUGGAGCAACGCCGCGUGAGUGAAGAAGGGUUUCGGCUCGUAAAACUCUGUUGUUAAAGAAGAACAUAUCUGAGAGUAACUGUUCAGGUAUUGACGGUAUUUAACCAGAAAGCCACGGCUAACUACGUGCCAGCAGCCGCGGUAAUACGUAGGUGGCAAGCGUUGUCCGGAUUUAUUGGGCGUAAAGCGAGCGCAGGCGGUUUUUUAAGUCUGAUGUGAAAGCCUUCGGCUCAACCGAAGAAGUGCAUCGGAAACUGGGAAACUUGAGUGCAGAAGAGGACAGUGGAACUCCAUGUGUAGCGGUGAAAUGCGUAGAUAUAUGGAAGAACACCAGUGGCGAAGGCGGCUGUCUGGUCUGUAACUGACGCUGAGGCUCGAAAGUAUGGGUAGCAAACAGGAUUAGAUACCCUGGUAGUCCAUACCGUAAACGAUGAAUGCUAAGUGUUGGAGGGUUUCCGCCCUUCAGUGCUGCAGCUAACGCAUUAAGCAUUCCGCCUGGGGAGUACGGCCGCAAGGCUGAAACUCAAAGGAAUUGACGGGGGCCCGCACAAGCGGUGGAGCAUGUGGUUUAAUUCGAAGCUACGCGAAGAACCUUACCAGGUCUUGACAUACUAUGCAAAUCUAAGAGAUUAGACGUUCCCUUCGGGGACAUGGAUACAGGUGGUGCAUGGUUGUCGUCAGCUCGUGUCGUGAGAUGUUGGGUUAAGUCCCGCAACGAGCGCAACCCUUAUUAUCAGUUGCCAGCAUUAAGUUGGGCACUCUGGUGAGACUGCCGGUGACAAACCGGAGGAAGGUGGGGAUGACGUCAAAUCAUCAUGCCCCUUAUGACCUGGGCUACACACGUGCUACAAUGGAUGGUACAACGAGUUGCGAACUCGCGAGAGUAAGCUAAUCUCUUAAAGCCAUUCUCAGUUCGGAUUGUAGGCUGCAACUCGCCUACAUGAAGUCGGAAUCGCUAGUAAUCGCGGAUCAGCAUGCCGCGGUGAAUACGUUCCCGGGCCUUGUACACACCGCCCGUCACACCAUGAGAGUUUGUAACACCCAAAGUCGGUGGGGUAACCUUUUAGGAAACCAGCCGCCUUAAGGGGUGACAGGA
rnacentral:rRNA from 1 species